rnacentral:rRNA from 1 species
CCUACGAGGGUCAGCAGUAGGUAAUCUUCCACACUGGGCGAAAGCCUGAUGGAGCAACGCCGCGUGGGUGAAGAAGGUCUUCGGAUCGUAAAACCCUGUUGUUAGAGAAGAAAGUGCGUGAGAGUAACUGUUCACGUUUCGACGGUAUCUAACCAGAAAGCCACGGCUAACUACGUGCCAGCAGCCGCGGUAAUACGGAGGUGGCAAGUGUUAUCCGGAUUUAUUGGGCGAAAGGGAACUCAGGCGGUCUUAUAAGUCUGAUGUGAAAGCCUUCGGCUUAACAGGAGUAGUGCAUUGGAAACUGGGAGACUUGAGUGCAGAAGAGGAGAGUGGAACUCCAUGUGUAGCGGUGAAAUGCGUAGAUAGAUGGAAGAACACCAGUGGCGAAAGCGGCUCUCUGGUCUGUAACUGACGCUGAGGUUCGAAAGCGUGGGUAGCAAACAGGAUUAGAUACCCUUGUAGUC